rnacentral:rRNA from 1 species
CCUACGGGAGGCAGCAGUGAGGAAUAUUGGUCAAUGGCCGGAAGGCUGAACCAGCCAUGCCGCGUGAAGGUCAGUGCCCUAUGGGCGUUAAACUUCUUUUGUGCGGGAGCAAUAAUGGUCACGUGUGGCCAGACGAGAGUACCGUACGAAUAAGCAUCGGCUAACUCUGUGCAAGCAGCCGCGGUAAUACGGGGGAUGCAAGCGUUAUCCGGAUUUAUUGGGUUUAAAGGGUGCGUAGGCUGUGAGUGAAGUCAGCGGUGAAAUGCCCCCGCUCAACGGGGUGAAGUGCCAUUGAUACUGACUUGCUGGAAUGCGGAUGCCGUGGGAGGAAUGUGUGGUGUAGCGGUGAAAUGCAUAGAUAUCACACAGAACACCGAUUGCGAAGGCAUCUCACGAAUCCGCGAUUGACGCUGAUGCACGAAAGCGUGGGUAUCAAACAGGAUUAGAUACCCUUGUAGUC